GCGGUCUCUUGUCAGGAUUGACACCCCAAUUCAUGGUGCGGGGCAAGUUAUUGUCGCAUUUGCAAAAGGUUCAAGAUGCCGAUGAAUUCUU
rnacentral:ribozyme from 1 species